rnacentral:rRNA from 1 species
UACGGGGGGGGCAAGCGUUGUUCGGAAUUACUGGACGUAAAGGGCUCGUAGGCGGCCAACUAAGUCAGACGUGAAAUCCCUCGGCUUAACCGGGGAACUGCGUCUGAUACUGGAUGGCUUGAGAUUGGGAGAGGGAUGCGGAAUUCCAGGUGUAGCGGUGAAAUGCGUAGAUAUCUGGAGGAACACCGGUGGCGAAGGCGGCAUCCUGGACCAACACUGACGCUGAGGAGCGAAAGCCAGGGGAGCAAACGGG